AUGUUUAUAAUAACCUUGAAUCCUGGACUCCUAUUUGACAUAUGAUAUUCUGUAUCAAAACUAGUUAUUUAAUUAAUUGUGAUUUUACUGGUAAAAGAUUGACAAGUCACUUUACAAGAUAUAAUUCAUAGUAUCUUUGCCCAUAUUAUAAAAUAUUUAAUUAAACAUAAGGUUUAUAGAAAUACAUGAUUAAGCCAUAUUCAUUGAAUCCAUAAAGCUCUUGAAAUUUGCUUUAAUUAUAGUGAUAAGUUUAUCUCUUUUGAAACCUCUCCAAAUGACUACCUUCAACAGGUAAAAUGAUUUUACUUUUGUAUUAGAGUUUGAAAAGGGGAUUAAACCAACAUAAUCGACUGUCUUAGUACACAACAUGAACUUCUUGUUAAAUUUUCAUCAAGUCCAUGGUGAAGGUCCCAUGACAGCUAAUAAAUCUCUUUGAAUGAAAGAACAAAUAAAAUCAUGUUGAUUUUAGUUCUUUGAUUUCGUCAAGCAUAACAGGUAAUCUACAAAUUCAAGUAACAAUCUCCAACGACUUGGACAACGGUCUUUAAGUGGCAUCAAUUUUUAAAGUUCUUUUGUGGAAGAGGCUCCUCUUAUUGACUUUUCAAGAAUAAAUUUAUUAAAGCAUCAACAUCAAUAAAAUGAAAUUACUAUUCUUUCUUUGAAUUUGUCAUGCAUAAGCCGUAUAUAAAUAUGUGCUGGCAAUACCAUCUCUAAACUAUCCUAGAUCCAUAAAAUGUCAAGCAAUAUGAGUACUUUUUGUAAACUUAUUUGUUUUUCCCUCUUUGUUAUGGCCCUCCUCCCUGCCUCCUGGGUAGCACUUGCUGAUAGCUCUCUGAGAAAUAAUUUAAAUGGAAGGAAACUUCUUGGUCUUGUUUCACACGUUGGUGUAGGUGGAAGUAACCCUGGUCCACCCGGUUCAUCAGGACCAAAUAUCCCUCCAUAAUAGUCCAAAUCUCGGCUAGAAGAACGUAGUUUGUCAUCACCAAAAUAAUUAUGCAUUAACCACAUGUUAUUAUUGUUGGUGACGCUUCACUGAUCUGUUUCAACUUUCAAGGCCCGCCCUUUCGUGGUAUUGUUGGUUAGUUAUAAGUACUCUCAAUAGAAGGAUUUGCAAACGUUGAAUUGGUUUGUUGCUGUGAGACAGUUUUAAAACUACAUUACGCUUCUUGCAUUUUUCUUGUUAGGUUGUUCUUCAACAUUGAAUCAUCGUAAACAUGAAAUGAUAUUAGUGAGCUCGUUGUCACCAACAUCAUAA